UAGAUAGGUAUUGGAAAGCGAUAGUCAACCAUUUGAACGAUCUCUUGAAAAUCUUGCAAGAAAAUUGUGUCCCAACAAUUUUUUCUCGGAAGAUAUUUACACAGAUUUUUGCAUUCAUCAAUGCUCAACUCUUCAAUAGUCUUCUUGUACGGCGAGAGUG